rnacentral:rRNA from 1 species
GAUGAACGCUGGCGGCGUGCCUAAUACAUGUAAGUCGAGCGAACGGACGAGAAGCUUGCUUCUCUGAUGUUAGCGGCGGACGGGUGAGUAACACGUGGAUAACCUACCUAUAAGACUGGGAUAACUUCGGGAAACCGGAGCUAAUACCGGAUAAUAUUUUGAACCGCAUGGUUCAAAAGUGAAAGACGGUCUUGCUGUCACUUAUAGAUGGAUCCGCGCUGCAUUAGCUAGUUGGUAAGGUAACGGCUUACCAAGGCAACGAUGCAUAGCCGACCUGAGAGGGUGAUCGGCCACACUGGAACUGAGACACGGUCCAGACUCCUACGGGAGGCAGCAGUAGGGAAUCUUCCGCAAUGGGCGAAGGCCUGACGGAGCAACGCCGCGUGAGUGAUGAAGGUCUUCGGAUCGUAAAACUCUGUUAUUAGGGAAGAACAUAUGUGUAAGUAACUGUGCACAUCUUGACGGUACCUAAUCAGAAAGCCACGGCUAACUACGUG